rnacentral:rRNA from 1 species
UACGAAGGGGGCUAGCGUUGCUCGGAAUCACUGGGCGUAAAGCGCACGUAGGCGGCUUUCUAAGUCAGGGGUGAAAUCCUGGAGCUCAACUCCAGAACUGCCUUUGAUACUGGAGAGCUUGAGUCCGGAAGAGGUGAGUGGAACUCCGAGUGUAGAGGUAGAAAUUCGUAGAUAUUCGGAAGAACACCAGUGGCGGAAGGCGGCUCACUGGUCCGGUACUGACGCUGAUGUGCGAAAGCGUGGGUAGCAAACAGG